GCAAGUCGAGGGGUAUAGUUCUUCGGAGCUAGAGACCGGCGCACGGGUGCGUAACGCGUAUGCAAUCUACCUUUUACAGAGGGAUAGCCCAGAGAAAUUUGGAUUAAUACCUCAUAGUAUGUGAGAAUCGCAUGGUUUUCACAUUAAAGUCACAACGGUAAAAGAUGAGCAUGCGUCCCAUUAGCUAGAUGGUAAGGUAACGGCUUACCAUGGCAACGAUGGGUAGGGGUCCUGAGAGGGAGAUCCCCCACACUGGUACUGAGACGCGGACCAGACUCCUACGGGAGGCAGCAGUGAGGAAUAUUGGACAAUGGGCGCAAGCCUGAUCCAGCCAUGCCGCGUGCAGGAUGACGGUCCUAUGGAUUGUAAACUGCUUUUGUACAGGAAGAAACACUCCCUCGUGAGGGAGCUUGACGGUACUGUAAGAAUAAGGAUCGGCUAACUCCGUGCCAGCAGCCGCGGUAAUACGGAGGAUCCAAGCGUUAUCCGGAAUCAUUGGGUUUAAAGGGUCCGUAGGCGGUUUAAUAAGUCAGUGGUGAAAGCCCAUCGCUCAACGGUGGAACGGCCAUUGAUACUGUUAAACUUGAAUUAUUAGGAAGUAACUAGAAUAUGUAGUGUAGCGGUGAAAUGCUUAGAGAUUACAUGGAAUACCAAUUGCGAAGGCAGGUUACUACUAAUGGAUUGACGCUGAUGGACGAAAGCGUGGGUAGCGAACAGGGUUAGAUACCCUGGUGGUCCACGCCGUAAACGAUGGAUACUAGCUGUUGGGAGCAAUCUCAGUGGCUAAGCGAAAGUGAUAAGUAUCCCACCUGGGGAGUACGUUCGCAAGAAUGAAACUCAAAGGAAUUGACGGGGGCCCGCACAAGCGGUGGAGCAUGUGGUUUAAUUCGAUGAUACGCGAGGAACCUUACCAAGGCUUAAAUGUAGUUUGACCGAUUUGGAAACAGAUCUU
rnacentral:rRNA from 1 species